rnacentral:tRNA from 1 species
UGUAGUUCAGUUGAAUAGAAUACCGGCCUGUCACGCCGGAGGUCGCGGGUUCGAGUCCAGUCCGCUCCGCCA